rnacentral:rRNA from 1 species
CCGCCUGCCCUGUGACCAGAGUGUUUAACGGCCGCGGUAUCCUGACCGUGCGAAGGUAGCGUAAUCAUUUGUCUUUUAAAUGAAGACCAGUAUGAAUGGCAUCACGAGGGUUUAACUGUCUCCUCCUCCCAGUCAAUGAAAUUGAUCUGCCCGUGCAGAAGCGGACAUAAAAACAUAAGACGAGAAGACCCUAUGGAGCUUUAGGCGAUAAGUCACACAUGUACAGAAACCCGCAAUAACCAAUAAAAUAUAAAGGGAUCACCUAAACCAAAUGUAAAAUGACUUAAAUGCCUUCGGUUGGGGCGACCAUGGAGGAAAAUAAAGCCUCCACAUGGAAUGGGGGUAACCCCCUAAACCAAGAAAGACAAUUCUAAGUAACAGAACAUCUGACCAAAAAUGACCCAGGACUAAGUCCUGAUCAAUGAACCAAGUUACCCUAGGGAUAACAGCGCAAUCCUUUCCCAGAGUCCAUAUCGACGAAAGGGUUUACGACCUCGAUGUUGGAUCAGGACAUCCUAAUAGUGCAGCCGCUAUUAAGGGUUCGUUUGUUCAACGAUUAACAGUCCUACGUGAUCUGAGUUCAGACCGGGA